GGAUUAGCAAUAGUCCUGAAAGUGGCGCACGGGUGAGUAAGACGUAGGUAACCUGCCCUGGAGUGGGGGAUAACAGUUGGAAACGACUGCUAACACCGCAUAAUACCGGUUGCUCGGGAGAGUGAGCGGUAAAAACUCUGGUGCUUCAGGAGGGGCCUGCGGCCGAUUAGCUAGUUGGCGGGGUAAGAGCCCACCAAGGCGAUGAUCGGUAGCUGGUCUGAGAGGACGAUCAGCCACACGGGAACUGAGACACGGUCCCGACUCCUACGGGGGGCAGCAGUGAGGAAUAUUGGGCAAUGGGCGCAAGCCUGACCCAGCAACGCCGCGUGGAGGAAGACGGCCUUCGGG
rnacentral:rRNA from 1 species